CCGCAUCCAGCCUGGCUUUCCUGGCCCAGGUGUAGGAUGUAACAGGGCUCCUGGAGGCCGUUCCGUGCUCCAAUAGCCGAGAGAAGAGAUGUUUGUCCUAAUUAAUGCGGCUUCACCUUCAGCGUUGAGCACCUUUCUCAUCGACUGCUGAGUGUCCUGGGGAAUGACCUUGUGAAAAUGGUGCCAAACUGUGAACUGGAGUGAGCCCAGCUGGAGAAGGGCCGCUGCAGCUCAAUGGGCUCCAGCAAAGGCCGGGCAUCAUUAGAUUGGGCAGCCGGGAGAGGCCUUUGGGGGAUGGAGGGGUUCUCCUGGUUCCCAGUUGCAGUGGUACCAAUAAAAGCCGUCCAAAUCCCUGCCCAGAACUGGGGCUCAUUGGUGCUCAGUGCAGUGGAGGUGGGCUGGGCUCCCGCUGUGGGUGAUGGCUGUGCCCUGCGACCCGCUGAGCUUUGGGAGAGAGGAAGAAGAGAAAGCAGAGAAGAGGUCCCACACCGUUCUUCUGCUUCUAAACCUCAUGGGAGAGAGAAACCCAAGCAGUGCAGUCAGGAUACCCAAAUUGCCCAUUCUGACGUGGGUUUCUCCCAGUUUGGUGCCAGGUAUGGCACUGCUCUUCUGCAGCCUCCAUGUAGGCACAGCGCUCUGAGCUCCAUCCAGAACAAAAGAAACGCACAGUGUGCUGUAGGUAGAAGAGCAAACCACUCCAAUGUUCCUGAGCAUCCGUAUGUCCUAUCAGGGCUACGAUCCCUAUGAGCUGAGUGGUGUGGUGGCUAUAAAGAAACUCCAGCUGGAUUUUAAGGUACCGGAGGGCAUUACUUAUUGGACACCCCAUGGGAUACGGGAGGAGCUGAUUGCUGGGAGUGGCCAUUCCUCAACACAUCCCUUCCUCUGCGUUCAGAGCAGGCACCUUUACAAACACGACUGCAGGUAUUGCAUCUCCCCUGCGAUAAAACUCCCUUGCAGGCAGGAAUAACACUUACAAAGAGGCUGUUUCAGAGAUCAUCAGCUCUCUAUUAGCUCGCCUGCAAUGUGCUCCGCUAGCAGCAGAGUUUAGUCUUCUCCAAAUUACUGUAGAGGAUUUGACUGUAUCUUGCUGAUCCAUCCACAUUUUAAUUUCCUCUGCACGGAUACAUAUUGCAGGAUGCUGGAAAUCCCCAAGCCCACUGGAGCUGCACGACUAGAUGUUUCAUCCUGUAACACCAAUAAAAUGUUAAUGCAU
rnacentral:lncRNA from 1 species